rnacentral:rRNA from 1 species
AUUGAACGCUGGCGGCAUGCCUUACACAUGCAAGUCGAACGGUAACAGGCCUUCGGAUGCUGACGAGUGGUGAACGGGCGAGUAAUACAUCGGAACGUGCCCGAGAGUGGGGGAUAACGAGGCGAAAGCUUUGCUAAUACCGCAUACGAUCUCAGGAUGAAAGCAGGGGACCGCAAGGCCUUGCGCUCACGGAGCGGCCGAUGGCAGAUGAGGUAGUUGGUGGGAUAAAAGCUGACCAAGCCGACGAUCUGUAGCUGGUCUGAGAGGACGACCAGCCACACUGGGACUGAGACACGGCCCAGACUCCUACGGGAGGCAGCAGUGGGGAAUUUUGGACAAUGGGCGCAAGCCUGAUCCAGCCAUGCCGCGUGCAGGAUGAAGGCCUUCGGGUUGUAAACUGCUUUUGUACGGAACGAAAAGACUCUGGUUAAUACCUGGGGUCCAUGACGGUACCGUAAGAAUAAGCACCGGCUAACUACGUGCCAGCAGCCGCCGUAACAC